GUCAAAUAGACCAAGCGAACAACAUCAAUUAGACAGAAAUUAACAAAAACUAAAAUUAAUAAAAUCAAAUAAUCAAUCGAUCUCAUUGGCCACAACACGCAAUAACAAAUUUUAAUAAAAAUUCAACCAACCCAACUCCAAAAAAUAGAUUACAACCCAGGCGAACAAAUUACAACCCAAUAUCAAGGGGAGCCAAGGGAGUAGAUCGUUGAUGCCGGGGAAAGCUACGGGUGAGGGAGGGACUGCUACAUACCAAGGAGCACUGACUACGAGUUGCUUCAGACCUUUCAGUGAUACGGGAAUGGCGAGCAGCAAUGGCAAGAUUGACGGGUGGGGGAUUUUGUGCAGAGCCGAGAUCGGGGAAGACGACUUGGUGAGGAUGGUCAAUUGGGAAAAUAGUGACAAUGAGGGACUCGGUGAGAGAAUGGCCAAACGACUGAAGAAG
rnacentral:misc_RNA from 1 species